GUCAAUCACUGGGGCGGUUGGGCGGAGGGGAGGCCAGGGCUCGAGGGGCGGGGAUUUGGAGCCCCUGUAGAAAGAGGCUUUCCGGCGAGCUGGCGUGAUUGGUGGGCUGCACUGACGGAGAUGGACGUGUUUGAGGGCUUCUGGGGAAGGACGCUCAGGAGGUGGAACCCAAGGGGCGGAAUUACGCGGGACCGUAAUGCAGCGUGGCUCGGGGGCUGCAGAGAAAGAGGCUGGCAGAAAAGGAGGAGCCUGCUUUGAAACCGCAAUAGAGGUACCGUUGCAAAAAAAAAAAAAAGUUGUCUUCUUGCCAACCUACCUGAAGGCUACUGGAAAAGGAAACCGCGUGUAAUCCAGAUGCACACUGAAGAGCAUGACAGGCAAUCCCCAAAAUGAUGACUUCAAAGACCCUGACAAAGCCUGAAACUUGAAAUCACUCUAAGGAAUCUCUGCUUUUCUUUCUCAUGGGUUGUCUACCAGAUGCCACCACCACCAGUCAAAAGGGAGCUGAGUCAGUUCAAGAUUAAGAUCUCCAGUGAAUGCCUGAAGGGUAGGCAUUUGGUAUUAUUUAUUGAAGCAAGAGUGGAGGAAGAAGAGAAGAGAACCAUCACAUACAUAUAACAGAGUUCCUGGGAAGGGGCACAGCGAGUUCCUUUGACUCUCAGACAGUGAACACCGCACAGCCACUCCAUAGAAGCCACAAUGAGCUCUGCCUUUUCACAUGUGACUCCAGGAACAAGGAGAAACAAAACCAAUUCCCCCCAGAGGUACAGACAAAGAAGAGCACCCUCCCAGAGGAGCCUGAUGACAAGUGGCCGCGGAGAGCAUCACUGUGAUCAGUCAGAAAGGCAGGCGAGUUAUUAGCUUAGCCCUGAACCUCCUACUUAAUGUAGGACCAGUGGUGAUGGUUAACAGACCCUAGCUGCGGUGACAAGCCUGGGACCUGCUUGAGGAAAUCCAAUUGAAAAGCAGCCAAGAGGAACAACAAGCUAGAAACAGAUGUUCCAGCUACCAGGAUGUGCACACAUUUAACCUGAAUAUGUAGUUGGGGCGGGAUAGAAGCGUUCCUUUCUAAAUAUAGUGAUUUCACCUCUUCCCCCAUAUAGAUAAUGUCAAGUUCAAUUUUAGCCAUCCACAUUCGUUUUGUCAAAUUUUCACCAAUUUCUUUAAAAUAAGAAGAUGUCAAAAUCAUAACAGCUAUUAAGGGAAUUCAGGGUAUGUGACUUACCUGCCACGUUUUGCCAAAACAUUUCAGGUAAAUCAUACACUCUUAAAUUCCGAUCUCAUAGUAAUUGAAAAUUAUCUUAAAAAAAAAAAAGACUGCCCCAAUGAAAUCCAAACAGUUCAUGUAAUUAUUGGAUGUAAUGUUACCACUUGGGUAAACUAGCAUUAAGAGAGUUAUAUUUUUAGCAGUUCCCUUUAGCCACUUCUGGUUACUAAGUAGGGGAGCUUAUGUUGAUAGAGGUGUGAUCACUGUGCAGACAGAGACUAGAGUCCAAGCUUGACAAAAUCAGUUCAUUAGAUUUGAACGAGAGUUGAGUCCUCUGAACCACGGCCAUACGUCAUGUACAUUAGGAAGCAUUCUCCUUUAUGUCAACACAAUUCUGGUUUUCUCUAAUGGGCUUUAGAAGAGGAAAGAGACCAUCUCUCUAUGUUGAUUUUUCUGAAGAAAAAAAUCAAUACUCACAAUAGAUUUUAAGUAGAUCUAAUGUAGUGCAAGAAUAUUCUCACAAGAAGCUAAUAUACAUAAAAGAUUUUAAAAUCUGAAUUACUGCAUGCCACAGUAAGACCAGCUCUUACCCCAAAUUCAUGGUGUUGUGAUGUGUCUCUAAAGCAAAGAAGAGCUACAGACUCUUUUCUCCAGCAACACUUCAUUUUUUAUUGGUAGUUUUUAAUCUGGUACAUUUUUGGGGUCACUGAAUUCUUAUUUGCUUUAGAAUGCCCGAUUAUAUCAUCCUGUAAAGGAGAAAAGAGUGUGAGCCGUCGUUCUGUGCUGAAAUUUAUUGAAGGUAUUUAUGAAGAAGGGUGAUCCUGAGGAAUGCAAGCUUUUAAAAUCCAAGAGCAGCAGCAAAAAUAAAUUAAUCAGGAAUUCAUCACUAAUUUAUACAUGAAUCACAAGGAAGGUAAAACAGUUCAGUAAAUUAUGGAUUUACAAAUAAACUGGAUUCUAGGACCUUGGAAAAUACUUUGACUGGAAAAUAGAUCCAUUUUUCCUAAAAACAAUUUUCACUUCAACUUCAGAGAAAAGGGACAUUAAAAGCCAAUCCCCCUCUAUGAAAAUUCCAGGGGAACUCUUUUCUGAUAACAAGGGAUCAGUGGCGAUGGUUCACAGGGUUCAUCUGCUCUCCGCAAACUCAGGGGUGGGGCCCGUUUCCAACUCAUUCUCAUGAAUUCUAAAUUGUCAACACCUAAGGUUAAUGAUACCUGUCUUUUUGCUGUCAUAAACAGUUAGGGCGGUUUAGCAAGAGAUAAAUCAUCCUCAACAGAGGGUUGUGCUAUUGUUCUCUUCAAACAAAGGAAAAAGCUUAUGUCUAUAUAAAUCUUAAACACGGUUAGAAGAGAAUAGAUUUAUUUUUUUCUUUUAUACUCUGAUGAAAUUCUUAGUCUACAACACAUUUCUUUCCUGAUCUGAAACAUCUCUUUUUUUUUAAAGUUUGUAGAGUAAUAAUGAAGAGUUUCUAUGCAUGAUGGAUCACUCUAAUCUCAAAAUAUGCCCUGAUUUUUUGGAACAGCACAGGAGGAAAGUCAACGAUCCUUUAGAUUAUUAGGUAACCAGUGCCUUGGUCUGAAACAUCCUCCAAUCAAUUGAGGACGAUACUUUCAGCUAUUAAAUAAAUACACAACGAUGAAGUGGGGUUGGAGGGAAUAAGAACAUUGCCAAGAGUAACCAACGAGUUCAUCCAGGAAUAGCUACAGAUGAACAAAAAUUGCUUUUAAUGAAAAAUAUUAAAGAAACUACAAACUACUUUUUUCAUUCAUCCGAAUCUUAAAUAAUUUUUUUCUUUCUGGAAAAUAUGCCUUCUAUGAUUCAACAAGCACACUGCUAAUUUUAGAAUGUGGAGUCAUUAAUGUUAUAAUGUAAGGUUGGAUAUAUUUUGUAUUAUAUGCUUUUAAUACACAUGAAGUAUACAUUAACUAUAAUAUCAGGAUAAUAAACCUAUCAGGUACUCCAUUAGAGUCAUUUAAAUGAAAUAAGGCCAAGAGCUUAGCAACAAAAUAACACAGUGUUCUUAGAGAUAACUUCACCAUUUUCAUAGAGAAUGUCCUUCAGUUAGCAAUAAUUUUGACACAGCGGGAGAUGGCAGCAAUGGUCAGUCAGUCAUGCUAUAAAUAUGUUGUAAUGAAAAAUAUAUCACACCCUCAGAAAUUUGCCAAAAAUAGCAAAUGAAAAAGUACCUAUGAUUCGAUGAAUGGUUUUUCCCUACAGCCUUCCACUCUUGCUCUCUCUGCCACACACACACACACACACACACACACACACACACAGAGCAUGGCACACAUGCUUAACCAGCUCCGGGAACUAGCAGCGUGGCUCUCCCCCUAGGUCUAGCCCUCUGUGUACACGCUAGCAUGCAGACUUAACCACACACCCAGUACAGAUUCUUCCAUUUCACAUCUUUGGCUGAAAUGUUUUCAUCCUUGCCAGACAUUGUGACAAAAACGUUAUUUGCUGCCUCCUCUUAGCCAGCAAACAAAACCCAGUUCUUUGGGGUGCUGCCUAAGCUUCGCUUGCUGAGUCCCCCUGUUUUUGUGUUUCAGGACAAUACAAGUCAGAGGGUGUUCGAGACAGCCCUACCAACUCAUUUUGCAGACAGGCAAGCAAAGUUCCAGAGCGUGACCUGUGCCCAGCACCACCAGGCUGGCCAGGGGCAAGGCUGGUCUGGAAUCCAGGGCUUUGUACUGCUUCCUGCUUCACCUACUCUUCCUCUUUUUUUUUUUAAUAAAGAUUUUUUAUUUAUUCAUUUGAAAGAGCAAGUGAGAGCAUGAGCAGGGGAGAGGGUCAGAGGGAAAAGGAG